GGGGAGGUGGCCAAGUGGUAAGGCAGCGGCCUGCAAAGCCGCCAUUCGCCGGUUCGAAUCCGGUCCUCCCCU
rnacentral:tRNA from 1 species